UACGUAGGGUGCGAGCGUUGUCCGGAAUUAUUGGGCGUAAAGAGCUUGUAGGCGGUCUGUCGCGUCUGCUGUGAAAAUCCGGGGCUCAACCCCGGACUUGCAGUGGGUACGGGCAGACUAGAGUGUGGUAGGGGAGACUGGAAUUCCUGGUGUAGCGGUGAAAUGCGCAGAUAUCAGGAGGAACACCAAUGGCGAAGGCGGGUCUCUGGGCCGAUACUGACGCUGAGGAGCGAAAGCGUGGGGAGCAAACAGG
rnacentral:rRNA from 1 species